UACGGAGGGAGCUAGCGUUGUUCGGAAUUACUGGGCGUAAAGCGCGCGUAGGCGGCUUUGUAAGUUAGAGGUGAAAGCCCGGGGCUCAACCCCGGAACUGCCUUUAAAACUGCAUCGCUUGAAUCCGGGAGAGGUGAGUGGAAUUCCGAGUGUAGAGGUGAAAUUCGUAGAUAUUCGGAAGAACACCAGUGGCGAAGGCGCCGCUCUGGGCCGUGACUGACGCUGAGGAGCGAAAGCGUGGGUAGCAAACAGG
rnacentral:rRNA from 1 species